CGCUCCUCCCCGCGCCCCAAGAUGGCGGCGGGCAGCGCGGCGCUGGGCGCCCUGGCGCUGGCGCUGGCGGCGCUGCUGUGGCUGCGGCGGCGGCGGGCGGCGAGCGGCGCGGGGCGGGUGUGCGUGGCGGUGCUGGGCGACCUGGGCCGCAGCCCGCGCAUGCAGUACCACGCGCUCUCGCUGGCCCGCCACGGGCGCGGCGUCACGCUGCUGGGCUACCUGCAGACGAAGCCCCACAGCGACGUUUUGGGCAACGAAAACAUACGGAUCGUUCCCAUCUCGGACCUUAAAGCGUUGCAGGUUGGCCCUAAGAUUUUCCAGUAUGUUGUAAAAGUCAUUGCACAAGCAAUGCAAUUACUGUACACAAUGUUGACGAUAGAUCAGCCAUCCUAUGUGCUUCUUCAGAAUCCUCCAGGUCUACCUAGUAUAGCUGUUGCCUGGGUAGCGUGUCUUGUGUGGAGAAGCAAACUGAUAAUUGAUUGGCAUAACUAUGGAUAUACUAUAAUGAGUCUGAUUCAUGGAAGAAAUCACCUCCUAGUACAAAUUGCAAAAUGGUAUGAAAAGCUUUUUGGGCGUUUGUCUGACUAUAACUUCUGUGUCACUAACGCAAUGAAAGAAGAUCUAUGGGAGAAGUGCAAUAUAAAGGCAGUAACUCUGUAUGACAAGCCAGCUUCUUAUUUUAAGGAAACACCUUUAGAACUUCAACAUCAAUUGUAUAUGAAGCUUGCCAAAGUCUAUGAACCUUUCAAAGCGCAGUAUGUCACAGAGUCUGUCAAUUCGAGUGCUGAGAGGUCUGCCUUUACAGAAAUGGAUCAUAAAAAUGGAUGUGUGAUAAAAACCAGAGGACGGCCAGCUCUUCUAAUCAGCAGCACAAGCUGGACAGAGGAUGAAGAUUUUUCUGUCCUUUUAAAAGCUUUAGAAGAUUAUGAAAGGUGUAUCAAUGAGGGAGUCAAGCUUCCAUCUUUAGUAUGUGUGAUAACAGGCAAAGGACCCCUAAAAGAGUACUACAACCAACUGAUUGAUAAAUUGUACUUCAAACACAUCCAGAUCUGUACACCAUGGCUUGAAGCUGAGGAUUACCCCCUUUUGCUUGGCUCAGCAGAUUUGGGUGUGUGUCUCCAUAAAUCAUCCAGUGGUUUGGAUUUACCUAUGAAGGUGGUAGAUAUGUUUGGCUGUUGUUUACCUGUAUGUGCAAUACACUUUGAAUGUUUACAUGAACUCGUGAAACACAAUGAAAAUGGUCUGAUAUUUAGGGAUUCAAAUGAACUUGCAGAACAGCUGAAGAUGCUCUUCUUAGAAUUUCCUACACUGGAAGGCAAACUUCACAAUUUCAGAAGAAAUCUUCGGGCAUCCAAGCAGCUGCGCUGGGAUGAGAGUUGGGACCAGACUGUUCUUCCUUUGUUUAAGCAGAAUGAAUGACUUUUUGCGGGGGAAGGUGUGUGGAAAAAAAGCUAAUACAUUCCCGGAUUUGCAUAGAUGUGAUAAAUGUGUGUGCAAGAGUAUGGAAGCACAUUGGUACAUAACAGUUUUACUGAACAGUGAGAGGAAAACUUCUGAUGAGUGUUGUCCUUGUACACUGAAGUAAAUGUGCCCAUUUACCUUGAGAAAGAACAUAAAAUUAUUCCUAUUUGAACAGAUGAAGAGGAGAAAAGAUUAUUAAAAUCAAAAAGCCAUCAGAAGAUGAAGAUCAAGAAAAAAGCUUUAUAUAACUUUUGGGCGACAUGAAGAAUUUUGUGCCAAGCAAGAUAAAGGAGCUCCUAUCUGGGCUGUGAGCAUGCGUGCAUUUUAUAAAUAGCACCUUUGAAUUCUUCCUUUUUGGGGAGAGGUGGCUAAAACAAAAAGAUGUAAUGGGUUUACUUCUGUAUAUCUGAUUUAUACUAACACUCAUAUUCUUCAACUUGAAGAAUAAGAUGGCUCUUCAAGUUUCAAGUUAUCUAUCAUCUACCUACUUCCUCUCCACUGCUAUGGAAGAAGGAUACCAAGUAUUUGUUUUCUCUUAAGUAGCUUUUAAAACAAGGGACAGAACUGGAAGUCAGGAGAAAGAGCAACACAUUUGGUUAUCUGCUUCAAGACUAAUACUGUCAAACAGGAAAGUGAUUAAUGGAUUAUCAGAAGUUUCAGAAAAGAUUAAGUAACUGGGAAGGAGGCCAAAACUAUUGAUACACUUAAUGAGAAGGCACCUACCAAGUUCAGCCUUGAACUGAUGAUACGUGUCGGGAUUACGAACUGUAAAAGCAAUGUAGACCUCAGGAGGUUUUCCAUCUGCUCUGAAAGUGGAGAGUUUUUGUAGCAUACCAAUAAGGGCUAAAGUUAUCUCUGGAUCAUAUACCACAUCUGCACAAAAAGAAAAGUAUAUGGUAUUUAUUGAGAAAAAGGCAAAAAGCAGAAUGAAAACUACAAAAUGAAAAUAUAAAAUAUUUACCUUAAAGCAGAAUUUUUUUUUUAAUUGAGGAGUUAAAAGUUUUCCAGAACAGCCUUUAGAAAACAUAUCCCAUUGUAUGUGCUGUGCCAAGUUGCCCUCAUCUGUAGUAUCAGUGCAAACCCAGGAAAAACUGGCACUCCAUUUUGCAAAUGGAUUUUCAAAUACUGUGUUUAGUUCAUGCAGCGUCUCAAGCAAAAAAGUUGAGCAUUGGUACUCUCAUUUAUGACUGUCCUUAGCAGGAUGAAACUGAAUUAUUAGACGUGUAUUUCAGUGGCUAAUCACAAAACACUUGAUUUGAACUGCAGCAGCUUCUAUCUUGAACAAUUUGUUAACAGUAGGAAUACUUAUGAAAGUAUGUAAAACUGACCAUUAAGGAGUACAAAAUAUCAGCCUUACUGUUUAGCAGUGUGAAUCUGAAGUCUGUCAGUCUUGUGUUAUGAACUGAUAUUCGAGAGGUGGUUGUUCAUGACAUAGAAAAGUCAAGGCAUAUGCAUGUACCAGUGACAGACGUACCAGUUACUUUUGAUGAAACAUAACAAAAGUCUGUGCUGCAGUAGCUAGUAAUGGAAAGUGAUAAAUAUGUAAUUCACCCUCAGUUUUGAAUUACCAUGACUUUAUGAAUCUAAGUUAUGCUGUUUUGUGCAUUCUGUGAGCAGUAUGGUUGGGAUUAGAUAACAUGCAGCGACUUCAUUUUAUAGAAUUCACAAUCUAUCUAAUGUUAUGCCUUUGAUGACAAAGACAAUGUUUUUUUAUUACUUCACCUGAAUUCUUAGACAAUUUUUGCUUUGCAAAGCCCCAAAUCAGGGAAGCCUGUAACUGCAGCUCUGAAAUUUUACUACUGCUAGAUUUAACAUCUUCAAUUGUUUAUGAAGUCCCUGAAGAUUUGUAUGUAAGUUCCAAAAAAGUAACAUUUUCUUAAUAUGCAUUAUUCCUUAUGAGACUGCAAAGUUUGCCAGUUCUAACUGAUAAGCUCUUAUCAUCUUCUGUUUCACAAUUAAGAAAAAUAAGAGGACAAAAUUUGAUUUUCAAUGAUAUGUAAACAGCUGUUGAAUAUCUGAAAAAGAAUGGUGAAAUGAU